rnacentral:rRNA from 1 species
AGCGAACGCUGGCGGCAGGCUUAACACAUGCAAGUCGAGCGGGCGUAGCAAUACGUCAGCGGCAGACGGGUGAGUAACGCGUGGGAACAUACCUUUUGGUUCGGAACAACACAGGGAAACUUGUGCUAAUACCGGAUAAGCCCUUACGGGGAAAGAUUUAUCGCCGAAAGAUUGGCCCGCGUCUGAUUAGCUAGUUGGUAGGGUAACGGCCUACCAAGGCGACGAUCAGUAGCUGGUCUGAGAGGAUGAUCAGCCACAUUGGGACUGAGACACGGCCCAAACUCCUACGGGAGGCAGCAGUGGGGAAUAUUGGACAAUGGGCGCAAGCCUGAUCCAGCCAUGCCGCGUGAGUGAUGAAGGCCCUAGGGUUGUAAAGCUCUUUUGUGCGGGAAGAUAAUGA